ACCAAGAAAUCAAAAGAUGUAUUACACUGGGAAAAUCUGCCACCAAAGACCUGUCUUCAGUUUUCAGAAGUAAAGAUAUCAUUUUGAAAACAAAGGUGCGUCUGACUCACGCCAUGGUCUUUUCAAUCACCUCAUAUGCUUGUGAAAGCUGGACAUUAAAAAAGGAAGAUAGAAGCAGAAUUGAUGCAUUCAAGUUGUGGUGCUGGUGGAGAAUACUGAAAAUACCAUGGACUGCCAGAAGAACAAAUAAAUCAGUUUUAGAAAAAAUACAACCAAAAUGUUCCGUAGAGGCGAAGAUGAUGAGACUUAGACUCUCAUACUUUGGGCAAAUCAUCCGAAAAGACCGAUCGCUUGAAAAGGACAUCAUGUUUGGUUAAGUCGAGGGCCAACAGAAAAGAGGUAAACCUUCAAUGCAAUGGAUUGAUACAAUUGCCGCAGCAAUGGACGCAAACGUUCGAAUGGUCAGGCAUGUGGCACAAGACCGGGCAACAUUUUGCUCUGUUACAUAUAGGGUCGCCAUGAGUCGUAAACAACUCAAUGGCAACUAACUAACUAACUCUUCAAAGACACAGAGAAGCAACUUCCUGCUUGCUUGAGAUUUGUUGAGUGGCAGAAACAGGUUCUGGGUAGGAGGUUGCUUUUCUUGUGUUUGCAAUCUCAUUUGAAACAUUUGCCUCCAACUCCCGAUUCAGGUCUCUGCUUGAUCCAAGAUCGGAGGUAUACACAUCCUGUCAUAUUCCUCUCGUUUAUCAUGUUUUCUGUUAGCCUCGUGUAUCUUGUCUUUUGUCAUGUGAUCUUUGUUCUCCCUCUGUUCCUCCCUGCAGUGUAGGCGUGCCUCAUUGACCGCUCCAGUGAUUCUCAGAUCAGCUGAUUUCUCUCACCUGUCUUCUCUGCAUUCCGCACGCCUCCACUUAAGCACUCUCCAGUACAUAUUCUCGGUUCACCCGCUACUUCUCACCAGAUCAUUGUUUCAGCCCGUCUGAAGGUUCUUGUCGGCUCCAGUCUUUAUGUCUCGAAUUCCUGCCGGUUCCAGCCCGCCCUUCGCCGGUCUUCCAGUCCAGUCCUGAUCCAGUCCGGUCCUGCUCCCAGUCUUGAUCCAGUCCAGUCUGGAUCCAGCCCAGUCCUGAACCAGUCCGGUUCCAGUUCUGUCCGGGGCGUCAACGCCUUCUCCCUUGCUACCCAGCUGGAUCACCAGUUAUUAAAAUAAAUGUGUCUGAUUUUUCCCACAGAA